GGGCGCUUGGUUUAGGGGUAUAACGUGUCAUUUGCAUUGACAAGGUCGUGGGUUCGAUUCCCACAGUGUCCA
rfam:Tncinocarpus reesii 1704 scaffold_3 genomic scaffold, whole genome shotgun sequence.